GACGAACGCUGGCGGCGUGCUUAACACAUGCAAGUCGAACGGAAAGGCCCUGCUUGCAGGGUACUCGAGUGGCGAACGGGUGAGUAACACGUGGGUGAUCUGCCCUGCACUUCGGGAUAAGCCUGGGAAACUGGGUCUAAUACCGGAUAGUAGCCAUUGUUAGUGUGAUGGUUGGAAAGUUUUUUCGGUGUAGGAUGAGCUCGCGGCCUAUCAGCUUGUUGGUGGGGUAAUGGCCUACCAAGGCGGCGACGGGUAGCCGGCCUGAGAGGGUGGACGGCCACAUUGGGACUGAGAGAAGGCCCAGACUCCGACGGGAGGCAGCAGGGGGGAAGAUUGCACAAUGGGCGCAAGCCUGAUGCAGCGACGCCGCGUGGGGGAUGACGGCCUUCGGGUUGUAAACUCCUUUCGCUAGGGACGAAGCUUUUUGUGACGGUACCUAGAUAAGAAGCACCGGCUAACUACGUG
rnacentral:rRNA from 1 species